rnacentral:rRNA from 1 species
CCUACGGGUGGCAGCAGUGGGGAAUAUUGCGCAAUGGGCGAAAGCCUGACGCAGCGACGCCGCGUGAGGGAUGAAGGUCUUCGGAUCGUAAACCUCUGUCAGCAGGGAAGAACGGUCACUGUGCUAAUCAGCAGUGAAUUGACGGUACCUGCAAAGGAAGCACCGGCUAACUCCGUGCCAGCAGCCGCGGUAAUACGGAGGGUGCGAGCGUUAAUCGGAAUUACUGGGCGUAAAGCGCUCGUAGGCGGUAUGUCAAGUCAAGGGUGAAAUCCCCGGGCUCAACGUGGGAACUGCCUUUGAAACUGGCAAACUGGAGUCUGUGAGAGGAUAGUAGAAUUCCAGGUGUAGGAGUGAAAUGCGUAGAUAUCUGGAGGAAUAUCAGUGGCGAAGGCGACCAUCUGGCAGAUAACUGACGCUGAGGAGCGAAAGCGUGGGUAGCAAACAGGAUUAGAUACCCUAGUAGUC